rnacentral:rRNA from 1 species
GGCGGAGGGUGCAAGCGUUGUCCGGAAUCAUUGGGCGUAAAGCGCGUGUAGGCGGCUCGAUAAGUCUGCUGUGAAAGUCCAGGGCUCAACCCUGGAAUGCCGGUGGAAACUGUCGAGCUAGAGUACGGAAGAGGUGAGUGGAAUUCCUGGUGUAGCGGUGAAAUGCGCAGAUAUCAGGAGGAACACCAAUGGCGAAGGCAGCUCACUGGGACGUUACUGACGCUGAGACGCGAAAGCGUGGGGAGCAAACAGG